rnacentral:rRNA from 1 species
UACAGAGGGGGCAAGCGUUGUUCGGAAUUACUGGGCGUAAAGGGCGCGUAGGCGGCCGCCUAAGUCAGACGUGAAAUCCCUCGGCUCAACCGGGGAACUGCGUCUGAUACUGGGUGGCUUGAAUCCGGGAGAGGGAUGCGGAAUUCCAGGUGUAGCGGUGAAAUGCGUAGAUAUGCGGAGGAACACCGAUGGCGAAGGCAAUCCCCUGGGCCUGCACUGACGCUCAUGCACGAAAGCGUGGGGAUCAAACAGG